AUUGAACGCUGGCGGCAGGCCUAACACAUGCAAGUCGAGCGCGCGGCGGACGGGGGAGUAAUGUCUGGGAAACUGCCUGAUGGAGGGGGAUAACUACUGGAAACGGUAUCUAAUACCGCAUACCAUCUGAUAUGCCCAGAUGGGAUUAGCUCGUAGGUGGGGUAACGGCUCACCUAGGCGACGAUCCCUAGCUGGUCUGAGAGGAUGAACAGCCACACUGGAACUGAGACACGGUCCAGACGCCUACGGGAGGCAGCAGUGGGGAAUAUUGCACAAUGGGCGCAAGCCUGAUGCAGCCAUGCCGCGUGUGUGAAGAAGGCCUUCGGGUUGUAAAGCACUUUCAGCGGGGAGGCGUUACCCGCAGAAGAAGCACCGGCUAACUCCGUGCCAGCAGCCGCGGUAAUAC
rnacentral:rRNA from 1 species